rnacentral:rRNA from 1 species
GAUGAACGCUGGCGGCGUGCCUAAUACAUGCAAGUCGAGCGAACAGAUGAGGAGCUUGCUCCUCUGACGUUAGCGGCGGACGGGUGAGUAACACGUGGAUAACCUACCUAUAAGACUGGGAUAACUUCGGGAAACCGGAGCUAAUACCGGAUAAUAUAUUGAACCGCAUGGAUCAAUAGUGAAAGACGGUUUUGCUGUCACUUAUAGAUGGUUCCGCGCCGCAUUAGCUAGUUGGUAAGGUAACGGCUUACCAAGGCAACGAUGCGUAGCCGACCUGAGAGGGUGAUCGGCCACACUGGAACUGAGACACGGUCCAGACUCCUACGGGAGGCAGCAGUAGGGAAUCUUCCGCAAUGGGCGAAAGCCUGACGGAGCAACGCCGCGUGAGUGAUGAAGGUCUUCGGAUCGUAAAACUCUGUUAUUAGGGAAGAACAAAUGUGUAAGUAACUAUGCACGUCUUGACGGUACCUAAUCAGAAAGCCACGGCUAACUACGUG